rnacentral:rRNA from 1 species
CCUACGGGUGGCUGCAGUAAGGAAUAUUGGUCAAUGGAGGCAACUCUGAACCAGCCAUGCCGCGUGCAGGAUGACGGCCCUAUGGGUUGUAAACUGCUUUUGUACCAGAGAAAACCCCCGCACGUGUGCGGGGUUGAUAGUAUGGUAAGAAUAAGCAUCGGCUAACUUCGUGCCAGCAGCCGCGGUAAGACGAAGGAUGCAAGCGUUAUCCGGAUUCAUUGGGUUUAAAGGGUGCGUAGGCGGGCUUGUAAGUCAGUGGUGAAAUCUCUUCGCUU